GCAGGGCAGGAAACGUAGUUCAGUUUCCAUUUCUGGAUCAGCCACCGACUUCCUGUGCUGCAGCAGUGCCUGGCCCCCUGGACACCCCCUGCUCGGGAGAGCACCCAGCAGUUUUUUAUGUGGUCUCUGGAUCAGAAAGUAUGUGGGGCUCCCCACUUCACAGGGCCCUGCCCUUCCUCCUCUUUUGGGAGCAGCGACUGACUUCUCGGCAGUAGCACUGGGCACAACACUCCUGUCAGCGUGGUGGGGACUCGCGAUGAGGCCCAGCAGGAGGAGUUCCUCACCUGUGUCUCGGGACAAGCUGCCUGGUUGAGCAGCGCUGAAGCCGAGCGGGGCCUCUUCUCCAGCGCAGAUGCACCGCUCUGUCCUGACAGCUGUUCGAGGCCCUCGAUUGAAGGUGUGGGUAAUUAAAGUAAUGAACACCUCUCCAGUAGCUGCUGGAAGCCUCAUUAAUCUACACACAUUGCCAUGGGCAAAUUCUGGUGUCAAGAGGGGGAGGAUCAACAAAAGUAACUUCAGAAAUUCAUUAAUCAGACUCGGCCAAGCGUGCAGUUCGGAACAGAGAGUUCUUUCCCUGGAUCGGUCAGAGGAUUAGAAUUUCCAUUUUCACAAGCAUGAAAGGGACUUCUUAAGCAAUAUUGGGAACAUCUAGGUUAUUGUGUUGGCAUUUGUGACUGAAGUGGCAGAUGCUCAUGGAAUCUGUCCAAAGACUCCUAUGUGGAGGCCUCUUGAGAGCCUGGAUACGCCAAGGUGGAUGGCAGGGUGUCUAAACAUGAUGAAAGGAAGGAAGUGAUGACAAGAACACAGAGAAAUGCAGCCAGUGAUGGCCGAG
rnacentral:lncRNA from 1 species